rnacentral:rRNA from 1 species
UACGUAGGGGGCAAGCGUUGUCCGGAAUCAUUGGGCGUAAAGAGCGUGUAGGCGGCCCGAUAAGUCCGCUGUGAAAGUCAAGGGCUCAACCCUUGAAUGCCGGUGGAUACUGUCGGGCUAGAGUGCGGAAGAGGCGAGUGGAAUUCCGUGGUGUAGCGGUGAAAUGCGCAGAUAUCAGGAGGAACACCUAUUGCGAAGGCAGCUCGCUGGGACGUUACUGACGCUGAGACGCGAAAGCGUGGGAGCAAAC